rnacentral:lncRNA from 1 species
UGCUAAAUUAAAAUAUAGCGACUCAUUCUUCUCCAACUCUUGGAGUGGUCGAUCCCAUCUCGAUCACACUCUGACUUCGCAAGUACUUGACUGUGCCCAGAAGCCUUCCAUCACUGAAUUAGAAAUUCAGUUAAUCCAGUACCAAAGCACAGUGAGUUGCUUGCAAGUCACUGAGGUGAUCUCAAGUCUAAGGGACACUUAUACCUAUAUCCCAUCAGAGACAUUCUCGACAGCAGAAUGCUCUAGAGUUGGUCACGUUCAAUGAUGAUGUACCCUUACAUCUCACCUG